rnacentral:tRNA from 1 species
UAUUAAAUAGUUUAUUUAUAAAACAUUAAUUUUGUAAAUUAGAAAUAGAUAUAUACAUAUUUUUUAAUAA